GUCCAGUGUCCCUGGUGGUCCAGUGGGUUAACUCUCCGGUCUCAGCUCCGCCGGGCGCAGAGCUGCAGACCGUGUAAUAAAAGUCUGGUGAACUCCCAGAGUGUUGCCAUGGUGACACUCUAGGUGCUCGCGGGACUUCUAUCACACGGUCUGCAGCUCUGCAACCGGCGGAGCUGCAUACCGGAGGUGCUGGGCAGACUGAUUGGAGGAAGCCCGGUGGGAUACAGGGCAAGCCGCCGGUCCCCCUCCUGGUGUCGGGCCUGCAGUCACAGACCGAGAGCCCGACUAAUCAGUCUGCAUUCCUGAGUAUCCAGAGGCUCUGCAUGUGUGGGUCAGCGCGACCCACUGGGAAUCGCCCUGCGACCCACACUUUGGGAACCGCUGGCCUAAGGAGUGGUCUUCUUACGCUUUAUACUUUGUGACGACGAUUUAAAAAAAAAAAAAAAUUUUAAAUGAGAGAACAUAGUAAACAAUUCAAUUACAUAACAUAUUUGUAUCUCACUGGAUAUAAGGAUAAAAAACAAAGGGGGUAAACAGGUUGUGUAGAUGAGGAUAUAAUUAUAUAAGUUUGAGGAAGACACCUAUUUGUAAUGCUAGAAGUGGUAUUCUAACCCCAAAAUAAAAUAGCCAGAGAUGUUAUUGUCUCUUUCACGAUUAAGUGGGAAUGAAACAUAGUCCUACCUGAUUUUCAGUCUGCCCUAUCUCUGGAAGGUGCCCAGUGAUCACCUAGGGGCAUGUGGUGGGGUAAUUGCUGGAGACUUUCAGGAGUAGGAUUGGUUCCUGUAUGUCAGUGGAGUCUUCACCUUAAAAGACAUUGUUGCCGUAGGUUACGCCAUUAGGACUAUUCUAUUAGGACAUACUAGACUGGGUACCAGAGGGGAAAAUGGAUCUAAAAUCUGUUUCUGGAACAGGUUAUUUACUGGAUACAAAAGUUAGAGUAGGUAUGAACUGGAGAAUAGGUCAAAAAUAGAACACUUUAGGCAACAAGGGUUGUCUGGUAGUAUAGUGCCUUGAAGAGAAUCUCAGAAACAAAACUCACAAAAACUGGUUAGAACCAAGAGUCUGUUGGACUAGUUCAGUGACCAGUGCAUUGUAGUUUCAUUUAGGAUAAUAGUCAACUUCUGUCACGAAGUAACAAGGACGUUAUAAUCCAUCAUGGAGGUUGAGUUUGCAUGUACAUUGCAUUGGCAAGUUUUACAUCAUAAUCAAAUUACAGAUCUAUAGAAGGAAAAGACAGACUAAAUGACAAGACUGCAUCACAGUUUUUUGACACAGUGGUGAAAUAUCUACUUUUAUAUAGCAGUCUAUAACAGUGAAACAUAUUGCUGGCUGAGAAACUUGGGAAAUGUAGAUGGGGAACAUCCAGAGUAACGAUGGUUAGUUAUUACUGGCCUAGACAUUUUAUCAUAUUUCACAAAGAACUCUGAAACUGAUAGAUCCAAUGUGGGCCCGGUGGCCGUGGAGUGCAGGGGAGGUGAAUUUUACUUCCCUUGGGCUGUCUCUUGUGGCCGCUGCCAUCUUAAUGCUGCUGUCCUCUGUAGACAACUGAAGCGCCAGGAGCUACAUCAUUGCUUUACUCUUGCGCAUGUGCAGGAGUACAACACUGAGAUCUAAGGAGGAUCCCACAAGACCCCAGAAUCCUCCAUAGACGGAGCCUGAAUCCCACAGCCAUCAUUUGUUGCUGCCGGGGUUGGACAAAAGUUGACUGCGUAAUUUUGCCUUUUGUCAACAUCAGACUUUACCAUAAGACAAAGUCAUCUCUACUUUGUCUAGUGGUAUCCCUUUGGUUUGCGUUGGAAUUUCAGUGAAAUUCCGACAGUCUUGAUCAGUAUUUCUUUAUCAACAUUUCCACUUAGGGGUGUACUCACUUUUGUUGCCAACUGUUUAGACAUUAAUGGCUGUGUGUUGAGUUAUUUUGAGGCGACAGCAAAUUUACACUGUUAUACAGGCUGUACACUUACUACUUUAUAUUGUAGCAGAGUGUAAUUUCUUCAGUGUUGUCACAUGAAAAGAUAUAAUAAAAUAUUUACACAAAUGUGAGGGGUGUACUCACUUUUGUGAGAAAUCAAGCUGAUUUUCUGCCUAUUGAAACUCAUCAAUAAUAGUAACAUUGUAUCUGUCAUUGUAUCUAUUAUAUUAUCAGUUUACAUGCAGCCUUGACCUCACAACCCCCCCAAAAAUUGUAAACAUUGAAAAAAAAACAAAUCAUCCCAUUCUCAGCAUGUGUAUAUAUAAUUCUUCUUAAUCAAAACAAGAGGAAUCCUGAUGGGAGUUGUAUUUCAAGAACUAGGGGACUAGCAGGGUUCCCAAUCCUGCUAUGGCUUAUAUAGUUUGUACUAAUUUACCAGAAGGAUAUUAUUUAGUGUUUCUCUGGGCUUUUCAUAGAUUUCUCCAUGGCUCAUUGAUCCCUAAAUAGCCUUUUUUAAUACAUUAAAUGAGUUACUCUGUGACACAAAGCCUCUCAUAUUUCACUUAGAACAGGUUCCUUGUAUUUAUCACUGCCUCUUUCAUUCUUGUCUUAAAAUGUUCAGAUGAAGGAUGACUCACUCUGAUCUGCAGGAGUUGUUCCUCCUUUUCAGUGCUUUUUUUAAGCAGUUAUUUUUGUCAUGUAAAAUGCAAAAUAAGAUGUCAAGUUAAAUGAGUUUUCACACUCCUGACAACUUGAAGUGACAAGAAGGGAGGGACUGAUGACAUCUACCAGUAAACUGUGAGCCUGGCUCAUGCCAAGAGAUCGUUUGAUUAUGUCAAUCAAUUUGGCUCCCUUUUAAAGGAGAAGAAUGCUUCAGGGGGCAAAAACCUUUAAGUACAGUCUGCAAUACAGUAGUAUGUUGUCCAAAACAGUGUAUUUUGUUUUUCCUUUAAUCUCCAGUUACCUAGAUAUAUUUAUAUUGCAUAUUGUAGGUUUUCAGCCAGGCUCAUUCCUUGACAUUAUGUUGUACCACCUCUUCUUACUGUCCAACUCUUAUUCCAUAACUCUUUUGUGGCCACUGCUCGAUUAUUCAGAGGAAGACUCCAUGGCUUGUGUACCUCUUAUGUCACACGUCUUGCCUUGUGAAUUUAUAGCAGCAGCAGCUGCUGAUGGAAUUGUACGAAGUAUUCUGUUCCAUUCCCAAAACCUUAAGGGUAUAUAUGAGUAUGUGUAGAAGAAGAGCUUGGAUAUCGAAAGACACAUUGUGUAACAAAAUUAACCAAUGUUGGAAACGUGCCAAAGUGUUACUAGUUCCUAAAAUAAAUGCACUUGAUCAAUAUAGACUACAUUCUGGAUGAACACUGGACUAAAAAUGAAACCAUACAUUUUUCUGAAAUAACUUUCAAUUCAUUUCAAAUUCCUGACAUUUUAGCAUACAUUUAGUCACACUUUACUGUAUACAAUAACCAUGUCUGAAGCAAAAUUUCCCGUAUUUAAAUGAAUGCUUUUGGUACAUUCUAUCAUUUUUUGGUUUGCUUACAAAAAUAUUAGUAUUGGGAUUUCUCAAAUCUUUAAGUUUCUUUUUGUUGAUCUCGUACAUGACAAUCCUCGCUCUGACUGUAGUAUUAAGUAUAUAAUCGGUAUGGUGAAUAUUCGGUAAGGAGCAGUCACCUUGAUUAGUAGACAUGAGCAUUUGUUGCGUUCGUCUUUAAACAAAUCAAUUCAUAAGAAACAAGACUAUUCUAAUCCACUUUUAUUGAAUGAUUCAGAGUUAGAAUUCCUAGCUAUUUGCCCGAACCAAUCGAUGUGUUCAAAAACUAUUUGAAAGAUUUUGUUUCAGACAAAUAAAUUCAUUGCCAAGCGAAUUUUGUUUAGACAAAUGAUUUGAAUGAUUUGAUACUUGUGCCAGGAUACAUUUUUUUUUAAUUAAAUGAUCAAUAAACACAAUAUUAAUAUAAGAUUUUCAAGCAAUGUUUUCCCAGGCAAGGAUAACUGCUUUACAUGCACACGUAACAGAAUUGCUGUCUCAGAUGUACUCCGCUAAAAAAUUUAAAUGGCUGCUCCCAGCAAUACAAUGCUGUUUUCAAAUAAAUGAAAUGUGCUGGUAACAUUAAGCCCAA
rnacentral:lncRNA from 1 species